UACGUAGGUGGCAAGCGUUGUCCGGAAUUAUUGGGCGUAAAGCGCGCGCAGGCGGCCUUUUAAGUCUGAUGUGAAAGCCCACGGAUCAACCGUGGAAGGUCAUUGGAAACUGAAAGGCUUGAGUACAGAAGAGGAAAGCGGAAUUCCACGUGUAGCGGUGAAAUGCGUAGAUAUCUGGAGGAACACCGGUGGCGAAGGCGGCAUCCUGGACCAACACUGACGCUGAUGAGCGAAAGCCAGGGGAGCAAACGGG
rnacentral:rRNA from 1 species